rnacentral:lncRNA from 1 species
GCCCAAAUCAUCUAUUUUAUUUAUACUAGUUAUUAAGUUCUACACCUUUAAAACUAAUUUAAAAAAAACAAAACCAAAAAAACCCCCCCACAAUUUAUUUUCAAAAACAACACUCACUCCCCCACACACUUCUCCAGAUUAUGUUAUCUAUAACACAAAGAAACAGCUAAACAAAACUCUCCUUUACUUUUAGUUAAUUUUUAACUAAAACAAAAAAUUUCCCCAAACUGGUUUUUUUUUUUUUUCUUUUUUCUUGAAUCUAUUCAAACCUACUCUAAACUAAAAACCCAAAAAAUCCCAAAAGCUCACACCCACCAAAACCUAAGCUUCAACACUUUCCAGCACUGGAGGGACUAAUAAAAAACUAAACAAACCAAACUACACCCCACAAAAAAAUCUUUUCUAAAUUUACCAUCUCUUCAAACAACAAAAAAGAUUUAUUAUUUAAUAUUAUUCAUUUUUUAUACUCAUAAAUACUUAUUAAAUAAACAAAUUUUUCCACUUUUCUCCAAAAAAAUCUUUUUUCAAAUCAAUUAAAAAAACCCAACGAACACAUUACUUUCUAAAAAAAUAAAUUCAAAAAUUUUCUCCCAGAUUUACCCUAAACCAAAACAAAUACAACUUUGAAGCUGUCAGAGGAAAAAAUGUACCAGGUCAUCCCUUCUCAGAAUCAUCAAAGAUUUGGGACUACUCUGUUUGAGCAGAAGUUCCCCCUUCUGGAUCAGCACACAGGCAGCGUUGGGUAGUGGGGGCCCAUUCACAGGGCACAGAGGGUCGCUCAUCUCACAAUCCUCGUUGUGUCCAGUUCUACCAGAAAGCUGAUCCCUGGUUGUCAGUGCUGGUGACACUGAAGCCACAGGUUCUUGCAGAAAACACAAAGAAAAAUGAUCACUUUCUGAUGCUUUAUAGUGAAGAAGCUGUGGUUGGAAGGUAUCUUCAGGACUCUUCUUCAAGAAGCUUGGCAAUUCAGGCUUCUGACCGUGAGAGUAAGAGGAGUUCUGCAUAAAUAACAGAAGACAGGCUUAUAAAUGUUAGAGUGGAGGCAAAGGAAUUAACUCAGCAAGUGUUUUACUACAAAACUGGGAAGGAGACAGAGAAUGAAAAAAAGGCAGGAGAUUGCAUCUUAGAGACCCUUCCCCACUAAGCAGCAGAGGUAAGGAUCGGGCUGAGACAUCAGGUGAUUGCUUUAACGUUACGUUCGUGCGUGCUGCGAUUGCUUCUCUGCCCAGAUACUGCAUAAUUGACUGCACAGCAUUAGCCAGGCACCACGUGGUAUCAGCACACAUACUCUGACGGCAAAAGCCCUGAGGUUCUGAGAUAUAUAUUCAAAAAAAAAAAAAAACAAACCAAAAACUCCUCCUUGUAAAGAACAAGGAUGGGUAGGGGUGAGAAGAGAGGAGCCAUUUCUGUGAAGUUAGCAGUGUUUAUUUAAUGGUGUAAGGUGAAAUUCUGUCUGAGAAGAGGUCACAUAAUCAUCAUGCUCCUUUCUGCCUUCUCAGUCAUUACUAGGGUGAACUGACUGUUUCACUAAAAUCAAGAUCAGGCAGGGUAAAAAAAGAGGUAGGGUAAAGCUAAGCAAAUAAAUCCUGUCAGAAUCCAGUAUUGCUGACA